GUAUAUUUAACCGUACAUAUAGACAAAUCACUUCAGGGCGAUACAAUCGGAUACAUCCUCGAUAGCCAACGUACUUCAUUCCGGAAAAAGUACGUAAAUUCAAAAUAGCCAACGUAAUGAAGCUGAUACCAACGGACACAGUACCUCUCGAUUCCAAUCAAUUUCCACGGGCAAAGGGAAAAAAAACUAAAAAUGAGUGCCGGGGCACCGUUCAUCUACAAAGCGGAUGAAAUCGCAAACAAUUCAUUCUUUGUCAUUCGUACUAAGGGGAUAAAGACAGACAAUUCAUUCAAUCAUUGAUUGAAUAUCCUGUGUAGAUCAAACGUUGCGUCCUUAUACAGGACGUUUGGGAUCACUAAAAA